rnacentral:rRNA from 1 species
GACAGAGGGGGCAAGCGUUGCUCGGAAUCACUGGGCGUAAAGCGCGUGUAGGCGGCUCGUUAAGUCUGUCGUGAAAUCUCCCGGCUCAACCGGGAUAGGUCGACGGAUACUGGCGGGCUUGAGGGGAGCAGAGGAAGGUGGAAUUCCCGGUGUAGGGGUGAAAUGCGUAGAUAUCGGGAGGAACACCAGUGGCGAAGGCGGCCUUAUGGGCUCUACCUGACGCUGAGACGCGAAAGCGUGGGGAGCGAACCGG